CUAUUAACACAAGUUUUCCUCCAUGCCUAUAUAAGAAGAAGGCUUAGUUAGUUACCAGUCAGAUUAGCCAAAAAAAAUCUAUUUUUUUCUCCCUAUACUGUGUAAAUGAACCUGAUAAGGAACAGAAUUAAGGAGCUUUUCAAUCCACAAGAGAUGCAGACGGCAUCAGCAGCCACUGAAGACAGUACUACUACUACUUCGAGGAAUGCGAGCAAGAAGCAGAGGAUC
rnacentral:lncRNA from 1 species